rnacentral:rRNA from 1 species
GACGAACGCUGGCGGCGUGCUUAACACAUGCAAGUCGAACGCUGCAGCCCAGCUUUUGUUGGGUGGAUGAGUGGCGACGGGGUGAGUAACACGUGAGUAACCUGCCUCCUCCUUUGGGAUAACGUCCGGCCACGGGUGGUAAUCCUGGAUAUUCACUGGUCUUCGCAUGGGGGUUGGUGGAAAGGGUUUUUCUGGUGGGGGAUGGGCUCGCGGCCUAUCAGCUUGUUGGUGGGGUGAUGGCCUACCAAGGGUUUGACGGGUAGCCGGCCUGAGAGGGUGGCCGGUCUCAGAGGGACUGAAAUACGGCCGAGACUGCUACGGGGGGCAGCAGUGGGGAGUAUUGCGCAAUGGGCGCAAGCCUGAUGCAGCGACGCCGCGUGAGGAGUAGUGGCCUGCGGGUUGUGAACCUCUUACGCUCAUAAUGAAGCCGCAACAAUGGUUAUAGUGAGAGUAGUGGGUAAAGAAGCGCCGGCUAACUACGUG